rnacentral:rRNA from 1 species
GACGUAGGGCGCGAGCGUUGUCCGGAAUUAUUGGGCGUAAAGAGCUCGUAGGCGGCUUGUUGCGUCGUCCGUGAAAUCCCGUGGCUCAACUGCGGGCUUGCGGACGAUACGGGCAGGCUAGAGUUCGGUAGGGGAGACUGGAAUUCCUGGUGUAGCGGUGAAAUGCGCAGAUAUCAGGAGGAACACCGGUGGCGAAGGCGGGUCUCUGGGCCGAUCCUGACGCUGAGGAGCGAAAGCGUGGGGAGCGAACAGG